GGGUCGGUAGUCUAGCUUGGUAUGAUUCUUGCUUGGGGUGCAAGAGAUCCGGAGUUCAAAUCUCCGCCGGCCCACCA
rnacentral:tRNA from 1 species